rnacentral:rRNA from 1 species
AGAGUUUGAUCAUGGCUCAGGAUGAACGCUGGCGGCGUGCUUAACACAUGCAAGUCGAACGAACCUUCGGGUUAGUGGCGGACGGGUGAGUAACGCGUGAGAAUCUGCCCUCAGGAGGGGGAUAACGGUUGGAAACGACCGCUAAUACCCCAUAUGCCUAUUGGUGAAACGAAUCUCGCCUGAGGAUGAGCUCGCGUCUGAUUAGCUAGUUGGUGAGGUAAUGGCUCACCAAGGCUUCGAUCAGUAGCUGGUCUGAGAGGAUGAUCAGCCACACUGGGACUGAGACACGGCCCAGACUCCUACGGGAGGCAGCAGUGGGGAACUUUCCGCAAUGGGCGAAAGCCUGACGGAGCAACGCCGCGUGAGGGACGAAGGCCUCUGGGCUGUAAACCUCUUUUCUCAAGGAAGAAGAUAUGACGGUACUUGAGGAAUAAGCCACGGCUAAUUCCGUGCCAGCAGCCGCGGUAAUACGGGAGUGGCAAGCGUUAUCCGGAAUUAUUGGGCGUAAAGCGUCCGCAGGCGGCUUUUCAAGUCUGCUGUUAAAACGUGGGAGCUUAACUCCAUCAUGGCAGUGGAAACUGAAAGGCUUGAGUAUGGUAGGGGCAGAGGGAAUUCCCGGGUGUAGCGGUGAAAUGCGUA